rnacentral:tRNA from 2 species
CGGGAUGUGGCGCAGCUUGGUAGCGCACCUGACUGGGGGUCAGAGGGUCGCAGGUUCAAAUCCUGUCAUCCCGACCG